UUAGGUCUUUAAAUUCAAGAAUUUGGCGGUAAUUUAGUCUUUUCAGAGGAACCUGUUUUUUAAUCGAUAAACCACGAAAAAUCUUAUUUACUUUAAUAAAUAACUAGUCUGUAUACCGUCAUUAUCAGAUAAUAUUUAAAGAUUUAUUGUUAAACUUUAAAUAAUAAUAAAAAUUAGAUCAAGGUGCAGCUUAUAAGUAAGUUAAAAUGGGUUACAAUUAAGUAGAUGUAAAAUGAAAUAGGAUUUGAAAUAUUUCUAGGAAGGGGGAUUUGAUUGUAAUUUAAAAUUAAUAAGAUAAAAAGAUAUAAGCUCUAAAUUAUGUACAUAUCGCCCGUCGC
rnacentral:rRNA from 1 species